rnacentral:rRNA from 1 species
GUGAGGAAUAUUGGUCAAUGGACGAAAGUCUGAACCAGCCAAGUAGCGUGCAGGAUGACGGCCCUAUGGGUUGUAAACUGCUUUUAUACAGGGAUAAAGUCGGGAACGUGUUCCCGUUUGUAGGUACUGUAUGAAUAAGGACCGGCUAAUUCCGUGCCAGCAGCCGCGGUAAUACGGAAGGUCCGGGCGUUAUCCGGAUUUAUUGGGUUUAAAGGGAGCGCAGGCUGAUGAUUAAGCGUGACGUGAAAUGUAGCCGCUCAACGGCUGAACUGCGUCGCGAACUGGUUAUCUUGAGUGAGUUCGAUGUUGGCGGAAUUCGUGGUGUAGCGGUGAAAUGCUUAGAUAUCACGAAGAACUCCGAUUGCGAAGGCAGCCAACAAGGCCUUUACUGACGCUAAAGCUCGAAGGUGCGGGUAUCGAACAGG